rnacentral:rRNA from 1 species
UACAGAGGGUGCGAGCGUUGUCCGGAAUCACUGGGCGUAAAGGGCGCGUAGGUGGCAGGGUAAGCGUGCGGUGAAAAGCCCCGGAGCUCAACUCCGGGUCGGCCGUGCGAACUGCUUUGCUCGAGCACUGUAGAGGCAGGUGGAAUUCCGGGUGUAGCGGUGGAAUGCGUAGAGAUCUGCAAGAAUACCCGUGGCGAAGGCGGCCAGCUGGGCCGGGUUCUGACGCUGGAGGCGCGAAAGCGUGGGGAGCAAACAGGAUUGAG